GACGAACGCUGGCGGCGUGCCUAAUACAUGCAAGUAGAACGCUGAAGGAGGAGCUUGCUCUUCUGGAUGAGUUGCGAACGGGUGAGUAACGCGUAGGUAACCUGCCUGGUAGCGGGGGAUAACUAUUGGAAACGAUAGCUAAUACCGCAUAACAGUAGAUGUUGCAUGACAUUUGCUUAAAAGGUGCAAUUGCACCACUACCAGAUGGACCUGCGUUGUAUUAGCUAGUUGGUGGGGUAACGGCUCACCAAGGCGACGAUACAUAGCCGACCUGAGAGGGGGGUCGGCCACACUGGGACUGAGACACGGCCCAGACUCCUACGGGAGGCAGCCGUAGGGAAUCUUCGGCCAUGGACGGAAGUCUGACCGAGCAACGCCGCGUGAGUGCAGAAGGUUUUCGGAUCGUAAAGCUCUGUUGUCAGAGAAGAACGAGUGUGAGAGUGGAAAGUUCACACUGUGACGGUAUCUUACCAGAAAGGGACGGCUAACUACGUG
rnacentral:rRNA from 1 species